UCUCUUUACCGCCCAUCAAAUUAUCCACACAUUAAGUUCAAUAAAAUUAAAUGUGAGAAAGUGUAUCAGCAAAAUCACCUGUUAAAAAGAAAUAUUAAUAUUCCCUAAUCAUUUUGUUUUGUCUGUCAUGGACCACUUCAUAAAAAUGUCUCAAAAAAUAAUUCAUUAUACAUAGAAAUCAAAAGAUUGUACACUGAUUUCUCAUAGCAAACACAACUCCGCCAUUACCUUGGAUGACAAAGACCACCUUCUUUUGAACCAGAAAGACAGCAAAGCACGUUGCCUCAUUUAGUAUGGAGGAAACAAAGGCAAUUUUGUUGCAUAUGUUUUUUUUCUUUUUUUGGGUACAUUGUUUAGUUCAUUUUUAUACCAAGCAAUGCUUUGUUUACGGAGUGGUGACUGCUUUUAAUAAGUGCUAGUUCAACGAAUUUUAUGUCUAAAACAUGUUUCUACAAUUGAAGAAUAAAAA
rnacentral:lncRNA from 1 species